UUUUACGAGGACCUUGAUUGGAGCCGGUGAAGAAAGAGAUGGGGUGUACUACUUCAAGGGUGUCAAAGUUGCUCGUUCACAUCAGACUUCUGCGAAAACUAUUUCUCAUGCAGUCCUAUGGCAUCGACGUCUUGGUCACCCUUCCUACAAAGUGCUUUCUACAUUACCUGUGUUUUCUGAUUUAAAAGUCGAUUUUGAGGAUUCUCACUCAUGUGAUAUUUGUUUUCGUGCCAAGCAAACACGUUCAGUCUUUCAUGAUAGUUUUAAUAAAGCUUUGGAACCUUUUUCAUUAAUUCAUUGUGACGUUUGGGGUCCGUAUAGAACUCUAUCAUCAUGUGGUGCUGCUUACUUUCUUACCAUUGUUGAUGACUACUCUAGAGCUGUGUGGACAUAUCUUAUGUUGGAAAAGUCAGAAGUUAAGGACUUGAUCAAGAACUUCUGUGUUAUGAAUGGAAAACAGUUCGGGAAACAAGUAAAAACCAUUCGAACAGAUAAUGGCUCUGAGUUCAUGGUCUUGUCUUCAUAUUUUCGUCAAAAUGGUAUCCAACACCAAACCUCCUGCGUCGACACACCUCAACAGAACGCUCGCGUUGAACGCAAGCAUAGGCACAUCCUCAACAUCGCACGCUCACUUCUGUUUCAAGCCAAACUACCAGUUACUUUUUGGGGCGAGAGAGCAUACUCACAGCGGCUCAUCUCAUUAACCGGACACCGUCUGUUGUUCUACAUGGAAGUACUCCGUAUGAACUGUUACACGGUUCAAAACCUUCAUACGACUCUUUACGCACCUUUGGAUGCCUCUGCUACGCUCACAGACGACCUCGCAACAGAGACAAGUUCAGUGAUCGCAGCCGAAAGUGUCUUUUUGUGGGCUAUCCCUACGGAAAGAAAGCCUGGAAACUUUAUGAUAUCGACAGUAAUGAAUUCUUUGCCAGCCGCGACGUUGUUAUUCUUGAAGAACAGUUUCCAGGAGUUACAGAUACAUCAUAUGUUACACCACCAAUCUAUCAACCAGAUGCUACAAUCGAUGACUGGUUACUUCCUACUACACCAGCAUGCUCCGGUGAUACUACUGCACCAGUGAUUUCUACCACUACACCAGUGGCUUCUGACCCUGCACCAGUGGUCCCUUCUCCAUUACUACCUAUUACACAAACUACAGACGUUGCUCUUCCACCAGCGGCACAUGAUACUACUAAUGCGUCUGAGUCUCCAUCACCUGGAUCUUCCUUUACUCAACCUAGUUCUCCGAUUGCACAGUCUACGCCUGCUACUACUAUUUCAGACACUCCUCCAUCACCUGGUCUUCCUGAGUUACUAGGUCGUGGUCAUCGUAGCCACAAGCCGUCUGUUCUUCUCAAAGACUACGUGGUUAAUGUUUCUACAGUUAGUACACCCCCCAUCACUUCUCUUUCAUCGACUCCUACUUAAGGUCCUCCUGUCUCGGUCUCAGGUAUUACUCCCUAUCCCAUCGACUCUUACUUGUCUCAAGCUCGUUUCUCAGUUGCACAUACAGCUUUUUUGGCUGCACUAACGUCUACUAACGAUCCUAAGUCUUUCAAAGAAGCUUCUCUUGAUGAUAUUUGGAAUAACUCCAUGACUGACGAGUACACAGCGCUUGACGCAAAUCACACAUGGGACAUUACCUCAUUACCAAAAGGCAAAAAGGCGAUAGCUUGCCAAUGGAUCUAUAAAACGAAGUUUGACGCCAACGGCAAGGAAACUCGCAAAAAGUCUCGUUUGGUAGCUUGUGGGAAUCGUCAAAGAGAAGGCCUUGAUUAUACGGAUACAUUCGCUCCAGUAGCCAAACCAACUACCGUGCGUCUGCUCCUUGAGAUUGCUGCUACUAAAAGAUGGGAAAUUCAUCAGAUGGAUGUUCAUAAUGCGUUCUUGCAUGGUGAUUUAAAAGAGGAAGUUUAUAUGAAGUUGCCACCUGGUUUCGAAGAUCCUGAUCCUACAAAGGUUUGUCGUCUCCGCAAGUCCAUUUAUGGGCUCAAACAAUCACCUAGAUGUUGGUUUGAAAAACGCGGCUCAGGCGUUAUGGCUCGUGGGCUAUGGUCACUGGAGCCACAGAUGGAAUCGGACUAGCCUUCGCUCACGAGCUAGCAAAACACGGCCUCAACCUUAUCCUAGUCAGCAGAAACCCUUUGAAGCUCGCCUCCGUCUCCGAUGAUUUCCGACAAGAGUUUCCACAAAUUAAGAUCAAGAUCAUUCCUUUUGACUGCUCUGGUAAUUCUAAAUGCACUUUCUUACUUUUUCAUUUCAGUGCUCACUUCUUUUUCGGCCAAUCGUCUUGAGCUAGUCCACACAGAGUUCUCGACUACUCGUUUGUGUGUGUGCUCACGCAUAUAAUUACUACAUGAUUGUAACAUUGGAAAAAUUAUUGUUCUUUCUCAAAAGAAAAAUCUUGAUUCAACAGCCAGGAUAAAAAAUAUAAUUACUCCGCACAAAUAAUUCGAAACAUAAAUGAAUAUAUAGAGUACACAAUUACAUUUAGUAGUGUAUUUGUAAGAGAGCCGCAAAAUAUACUAGACUUUGUUAUAAUAGUAUAACGGAAAAGUAAAAUAAUACUAUGCACUUACAAGAUUAAAAUUUAAAAACCAAAUGUUUCUUAAAAUACAUAUUUGUUAAUUAUUUCGAGAAGGGCACUCUAAUACAAAUUUUAGCACUAUGUAUUUUGUUGCUAAGAGUACUUAUGGACCUAUAUAAACUCUAUUAGAAUCAUUGCUCAAAAGAAAAAUUAUAUUAGAACCCAAUUAUUAGGAUAAUAAGAUGAUUUCCUGACAAUAAUGAAUAAUCCAAGAAAACAACUGUACGUUGCUCAUUUGCAAUGGUUCCGUAGUAAAACGACAAGGAGGGUAAACGCCAUCAUGCCAUGUUAGGUUCAUCCAUCACAAAGCUAUAGACGUUGGAGAAAUUAUUGAAAUUAAAUAUUUAAUAAUAAACCAAUUCAAAUUAAGAACUCAGUUGGGCAUAAUUAAGUAAAUUUUAUAUUGUGAUUUUAAUGUUUAGAAAAACCAUUCGGGUUUUACAAAGAUUAGUAUGAACUUCGGCUUAGGAUCAACCGUUUUAGUUUCAGUAAAAUCAAUGGAAAACAUUUCAUUUCUUAAAGGUGAUUGCAUCAUAAAUAUUUACUUGUUUUGUAAAAAACUUUUUUUACCACUUAUUUAGGCGAUAUACUUCUGAGUUUCCGUCUACGAAAAUGAGACACAAAACUCAAGAAAUAUAGCAAAUGUGAUAUAGAAUUAGAAAUAUCAAAUAUGUAUUUGUGAGUAGUGAAUAAUGAUAAAAUUAUUCAGAAGGAGGAUAUGGAGCCAUCGAGGAGGGAAUCAAAGGCGUUGAAGUUGGAAUUCUUAUCAACAACGUGGGGAUAACUUAUCCACGAGCCAUGUUCUUCCACGAGGUUGACCAACUUACAUGGACUAAAAUCGUUAGGGUUAAUCUUGAAGCCACCACUUGGGUCACAAGAUCACUCAUCGGACCAAUGCUUCACCGCCGUCGAGGAGCCAUCGUCAAUAUUAGCUCCGGUGCUGCCGUUGUUGUCCCUUCUCAUCCUCUCUACGCCAUCUACGCCGCCACCAAAGCGUUAAGACUUUCCACGCUCACUUUUCUUUUAUUUAGUUUUUCAUCUGGUCAAUGCACAUUUCAAAAUUAUAGUACUCAUGAACAACAUAACCGUGCAGAACUAUUAGGUCUUAAGAAAAAUAUUUAGGACACUAAUUUUUUUUUUACAAGAUAUGUUAUGUCAAUUAAGACGGAAAUUUAUCUAUAACUAUAGAGAUAAGGACAUAACUUGUAGAUAAAGAUAACUAUGUAUUGUAGUUAUCUAAUCCCCUAAGGGUUAGGAGAUCCUUCUUGUAUAUAUACACUAUGACAUACAUCAAUAUACACAACAAAUUACAUUCUAUUUUAUGGUAUCAGAGCUAAGGCACGAUACUUGACCUUUUUCUCUGCUUUCGCUUACGUAUUUUUUCUCUACUACAUCAAAUCGUGUUGAUCGUACUUCAUGUCGUCAACAACGAGUUCGUCUACUUCUACUUCUUCUACUACGGAGAGCUCUGUUUCAAACUCUCCUUACAACCUUCAUCCCUCUGAUAAUCCUGGUGCCCUAAUUACACCAGUACUUCUCCGAGGAGAUAACUACUCCGAGUGGGCAGUAGAGCUGUGGAACUCUCUACAGGCUAAACAAAAGAUCGGAUUUCUCGAUGGCUCAGUACUUAAACCUACCACCAAUCCCGAUCUUGCCCGCUGGACCUCUACUAAUUCUAUGAUAGUAGGCUGGAUUCGAACGUCUAUCGAUCCUCAAGUUCGUUCAACCGUGACUCAUGUUGCAGAUGCUUCGAAACUGUGGGAAUCUCUAAAACAACGUUUCUCAGUCAAGAAUGCCGUACGCAAGCAUCUUCUUCAAAACGAAAUCACUAAUUGUAAACAGAAUGGCCAGUCUGUUCUGGAGUACUAUGGCCGUCUUUCCAAGUUAUGGGAAGAAAUUCAAAACUUCAAACCCGUUGUGUCUUGUACAUGCACUGCUUCUGCUGAACUUGAGAAGGAGCGAGAGGACGCUAAAAUUCACAAGUUUCUCUUUGGUCUCGAUGAAGUGAGGUUCAAUACCAUUCGAUCUCAAAUCAUUGACGAGGACCCUCUUCCAGAAUUAAACACCGUCUAUUCAAGAGUCAUUCGAGCUGAGCUGCACAUCAACAACAUGCGCACUGCAGAUACAAAACAGGACGCAGUUGGCUUCUCAAUCAAAUCAGAUAUCACUGCCUCAGCUGUUGCGACUCGAAGUCGUGAUCCUGCUCGAUCUUGUACUCACUGUAAACGUACAGGACAUGAAGCCUCCGAAUGUUUUCUUCUACAUGGCUACCCGGAAUGGUUUCUCGAACAACAACAACGCAAUUCUUCACGUAACUUCUCUGGAAACAGAGGACGUGGAGGACGUUCAUCCAGCUCCAGUGGACGUGGACGUGGACGUUUGAAUGCUGCCUCUGCUUCUGUUAGUGCUCCAUCAUCUACCUCUACAACCGAUCAAAUUUCAGCUCUCAUCACCUUGCUUCAGUCACAACAAUCUCAACUCUCCACUGAUCGCUUGUCUGGUAAAACUGAUCUUUCUGAUGUUAUUAUCGAUACUGGUGCCUCUCACCAUAUGACAGGCGACUUGUCUCUCUUACAAGAUGCAAUAGAUAUUAUACCGUCUGCGGUUACUUUCCCGGACGGCACUGCUUCGCGCGCUACAAAAAUUGGCCGCAUAUCUCUUACUAAAGAUUACAUACUUGUUAAUGUGCUUUAUGUACCAAACUUCAAUUGCACAUUGAUCUCAGUAUCAAGACUACUCAAGCAAACCGGUUGUAUUGCUAUAUUUACUGACACUCUUUGUGUUUUACAGGACCGUUUUACGAGGACCUUGAUUGGAGCCGGUGAAGAAAGAGAUGGGGUGUACUACUUCAAGGGUGUCAAAGUUGCUCGUUCACAUCAGACUUCUGCGAAAACUAUUUCUCAUGCAGUCCUAUGGCAUCGACGUCUUGGUCACCCUUCCUACAAAGUGCUUUCUACAUUACCUGUGUUUUCUGAUUUAAAAGUCGAUUUUGAGGAUUCUCACUCAUGUGAUAUUUGUUUUCGUGCCAAGCAAACACGUUCAGUCUUUCAUGAUAGUUUUAAUAAAGCUUUGGAACCUUUUUCAUUAAUUCAUUGUGACGUUUGGGGUCC
rnacentral:lncRNA from 1 species